rnacentral:rRNA from 1 species
GACGAACGCUGGCGGCGUGCUUAACACAUGCAAGUCGAACGGAAAGGCCCUGCUUUUGUUGGGUGCUCGAGUGGGGAACGGGUGAGUAACACGUGAGUAACCUGCCCUUGACUUUGGGAUAACUUCACGAAACUGGGGCUAAUACCGGAUAGGAGCUCCUGCUGCAUGGUGGGGGUUGGAAAGUUUCGGCGGUUGUGGAUGGACUCGCGGCUUAUCAGCUUGUUGGUGGGGUAGUGGCUUACCAAGGCUUUGACGGGUAGCCGGCCUGAGAGGGUGACCGGCGACAUGGGGACUGAGAGACGGCCCAGACUCCUACGGGAGGCAGCGGUGGGGAAUAUUGCACAAUGGGCGGAAGCCUGAUGCAGCAACGCCGCGUGCGGGAUGACGGCCUUCGGGUUGUAAACAGCUGUCGCCUGUGACGAAGCGUGAGUGACGGUAAUGGGUAAAGAAGCACCGGCUAACUACGUG